AACUUUCAACAACGGAUCUCUUGGUUCUGGCAUCGAUGAAGAACGCAGCGAAAUGCGAUAAGUAAUGUGAAUUGCAGAAUUCAGUGAAUCAUCGAAUCUUUGAACGCACAUUGCGCCCCUUGGUAUUCCGGGGGGCAUGCCUGUUCGAGCGUCAUUACACCCUUCAAGCCCGGCUUGGUAUUGGGUCACGGGGGCGACCCGGACCCCAAAGUCUCCGGCUGGAAAGCUCUAAUCUCAGCGUCGUGGAAUCCAUUCGCCGACGAGAGGGGUGAUCCGUGCCGUCGAAAUCAUUCAUUCAAGGUUGACCUCGGAUCAGGUAGGAAUACCCGCUGAACUUAAGCAUAUCAAUAAGCGGAGGAAAAGAAACCAACAGGGAUUGCCCUAGUAACGGCGAGUGAAGCGGCA
rnacentral:misc_RNA from 1 species